GCGAACGGGUGAGUAACACGUGAGCAACCUGCCCUAGGCUUUGGGAUAACCCUCGGAAACGGGGGCUAAUACCGAAUAUUACCUCCUGUCGCAUGGUGGGGGGUGGAAAGUUUUUCGGCCUGGGAUGGGCUCGCGGCCUAUCAGCUUGUUGGUGGGGUGAUGGCCUACCAAGGCGACGACGGGUAGCCGGCCUGAGAGGGCGACCGGCCACACUGGGACUGAGACACGGCCCAGACUCCUACGGGAGGCAGCAGUGGGGAAUAUUGCACAAUGGGCGGAAGCCUGAUGCAGCGACGCCGCGUGAGGGAUGACGGCCUUCGGGUUGUAAACCUCUUUCAGCAGGGACGAAGCGUAAGUGACGGUACCUGCAGAAGAAGCACCGGCCAACUACGUGCCAGCAGCCGCGGUAAGACGUAGGGUGCGAGCGUUGUCCGGAUUUAUUGGGCGUAAAGAGCUCGUAGGCGGCUUGUCGCGUCGACCGUGAAAACUUGGGGCUCAACCCCAAGCCUGCGGUCGAUACGGGCAGGCUAGAGUUCGGUAGGGGAGACUGGAAUUCCUGGUGUAGCGGUGAAAUGCGCAGAUAUCAGGAGGAACACCGGUGGCGAAGGCGGGUCUCUGGGCCGAUACUGACGCUGAGGAGC
rnacentral:rRNA from 1 species